rnacentral:ribozyme from 1 species
GUGUGGAAGAAUUACGAAGUAAAAUCGAAGGUGGUGGGACUGGUUCUAACUCUAUUGGAAACGAAUUUGAUGGUUCAUCGUUCGACGAAAUUAAGGCAGCAGCACAAG